UAAAAAGAUUAUUAAAACAACGAUACCCGCCGAAACCAUCCUCCACCUCCUCCCACACCUUCCAGCCACCAUUCCCAACGAUACCCGAUCACUUCUCCGACACAUACCAAAAUCAAGCUUAACAAAGCUAUUGGGGACGUGAGAUCCAGCUGGUCUUGAAGCCACAGGAGGCGCAAAUGUCGAAAUUGGGGACGAACUCGGAGGGUAGGGCUUGGUAGGCGGCCCAGCAGGACUCGGAGGCGUUGCGUGGGGGGUUCAUAUGGCAGCCGUCACAUUGAAUGCAUUCAGAAGUAGUCUUCUUCUCCAAAUUUUUUUUGUCUCUGGUUGUUGCGGGUUUCUUUCAAAGUUGUACUGUUUGGCCACAAAGUCUUGCCCUUUAGGCUACCAAAACACACAAUGUAAAGAAAUGUAAGAAUGCUGCUCUCAUCUAUAUUUACCAAGAAGGAUCAUGGUCCGGUUUUUUCUAUUUGUUAAAGUUGGUGGGUUUGGUUUCCUCCGCGGGUGUCAGCACGGAUUUAAUUACCAGCACAAGCGUGGUCUUGUGAAUGUGAAGUUGAAAUGGGUGAAAGAUAGGGGAUUGGAUGCUGUUGUGACUGCUGAGAGGGAUCUCAAAGCUGCCUGUAUUCUUGUUUCCAUUAUCUCAUCCUCACCUCAGUGCUGCCUCCCCAUAUACCGUCUCUCUUGCCAUCGUGGACAACUCAGUCUUCCUUGUGAU